rnacentral:rRNA from 1 species
GUGGGGAAUAUUGCACAAUGGGCGCAAGCCUGAUGCAGCCAUGCCGCGUGUAUGAAGAAGGCCUUCGGGUUGUAAAGUACUUUCAGCGGGGAGGAAGGGAGUAAAGUUAAUACCUUUGCUCAUUGACGUUACCCGCAGAAGAAGCACCGGCUAACUCCGUGCCAGCAGCCGCGGUAAUACGGAGGGUGCAAGCGUUAAUCGGAAUUACUGGGCGUAAAGCGCACGCAGGCGGUUUGUUAAGUCAGAUGUGAAAUCCCCGGGCUCAACCUGGGAACUGCAUCUGAUACUGGCAAGCUUGAGUCUCGUAGAGGGGGGUAGAAUUCCAGGUGUAGCGGUGAAAUGCGUAGAGAUCUGGAGGAAUACCGGUGGCGAAGGCGGCCCCCUGGACGAAGACUGACGCUCAGGUGCGAAAGCGUGGGGAGCAAACAGGA